GAGACAGGCAUACACGGCACACACGCAUACACACAGAGGCAGGCAUAACACGGCACACACGCAUACACACAGAGACAGGCACACACGGCACACACGCAUACACACAGAGGCAGG